rnacentral:rRNA from 1 species
UACGGAGGAUGCAAGCGUUAUCCGGAAUGAUUGGGCGUAAAGCGUCCGCAGGUGGCUGUGUAAGUCUGCUGUUAAAGAGUCUAGCUCAACUAGAUACAAGCAGUGGAAACUACAUGGCUAGAGUGCGUUCGGGGCAGAGGGAAUUCCUGGUGUAGCGGUGAAAUGCGUAGAGAUCAGGAAGAACACCGGUGGCGAAAGCGCUCUGCUAGGCCGCAACUGACACUGAGGGACGAAAGCUAGGGGAGCGAACAGG